AUGGAGAGAACCCCAGUGAUUCCUCGCGUCGGUCUCGGCGCCCAGGGACUGGAGGUGUCUAAGCUGGGGCUGGGGUGCAUGGGCCUGACGGGCUCGUACAACUCCCCGCUCGACGACGACGCCGGCGCCGCCGUCAUCGCGCACGCCUUCCGCCGCGGCGUCACCUUCUUCGACACCUCCGACUUCUACGGGCCCCACGCCAACGAGGUACUCCUCGGCAAGGCGCUGAAGCAGCUGCCGAGGGAGCAGGUGCAGGUGGCCACCAAGUUCGGGAUCCAGCUGCAGGCCGGGGGCACCAGCUUGUGCGGCCGGCCGGAGUAUGUGCGCGAAGCCUGCGAGGCCAGCCUGCACCGCCUCGGCGUCGACUACAUCGACCUCUACUACCAGCACCGGAUCGACACCACCACCCCCAUCGAGGACACGAUAGGUGAGCUCAAGAAGCUGGUGGAGGAGGGGAAGGUCAGGUACAUUGGGCUGUCGGAGGCGAGCCCCGACACCAUCAGGCGUGCUCAUGCCGUGCACCCGAUCUCCGCGGUGCAGAUGGAGUGGUUGCUGUGGGCUCGCGACAUCGAGCCCGACAUUGUGCCGCUCUGCAGAGAACUGGGGAUUGGAAUUGUUCCUUACAGCCCGAUCGGCCGCGGGUUCUUCGGCGGAAGAGGAGUCACGGAACAAGUCUCUGAUGAAUCCAAUAUGAAAGGGCACCCACGGUUUUCAGCAGAAAAUCUGGAGAAGAACAAGCAUCUUUAUCUGAAGAUGGAGGAACUGGCUAGGAAGCACCAGUGCAGUCCUGCUCAGCUAGCUUUAACUUGGGUUCUGCAUCAAGGGGGUGAUGUGGUUCCCAUACCAGGGACAACCAAGAUCAAGAAUCUGGACUCCAACAUUGACUCCUUAAAGAUAAAGCUCACAGAAGAUGACCUGAAAGAAAUUAGCAGCCAGAUACGUGAAGAAGAUGUGGCCGGUGGAAGGAGUUAUACUUCCUUUGCCCAUGCCAACUGGAACCAUGCAGACGCACCAAAGAAGUAG
rnacentral:rRNA from 1 species